UCACGGACCAGAAACUUGACAACACCGCGGGCCCACUGCUCAGACAGGACACUGGAGCAGCGGGAGGAAAGUGCCGCAGGAAGAGGGUGAGAAGAAGCUUUAACAAGAGGAAACUACCAGAGGAUGAGCUCCACCAAACGGAGGGAGGAAAUCCAGAAAAUGAAGACAAAGAGUCCAACACAGGAGAGAAUUUUAACAAGCCCGUGACUUCCUAGAAAACAGAAGGGCUGGCCUUUGAACACCCCUUCCUGCCCCCCACCCAUCUGGCCUUUCAAGUGACUCAUGAAGCAACAUUGAAAACGAA